rnacentral:rRNA from 1 species
CCCCUGUGAACAUACCACUUGUUGCCUCGGCGGAUCAGCCCGCUCCCGGUAAAACGGGACGGCCCGCCAGAGGACCCCUAAACUCUGUUUCUAUAUGUAACUUCUGAGUAAAACCAUAAAUAAAUCAAAACUUUCAACAACGGAUCUCUUGGUUCUGGCAUCGAUGAAGAACGCAGCAAAAUGCGAUAAGUAAUGUGAAUUGCAGAAUUCAGUGAAUCAUCGAAUCUUUGAACGCACAUUGCGCCCGCCAGUAUUCUGGCGGGCAUGCCUGUUCGAGCGUCAUUUCAACCCUCAAGCACAGCUUGGUGUUGGGACCCGCGUUAAUUCGCGUUCCCCAAAUUGAUUGGCGGUCACGUCGAGCUUCCAUAGCGUAGUAGUAAAACCCUCGUUACUGGUAAUCGUCGCGGCCACGCCGUUAAACCCCAACUUCUGAAUGUUGACCUCGGAUCAGGUAGGAAUACCCGCUGAACUUAAGCAUAUCAAU